rnacentral:rRNA from 1 species
UACUAGAGUAGCACUCGCAUAUCAAUAAGCGGAGGAAAAGAAACUAACAAGGAUUCCCCUAGUAACGGCGAGUGAAGCGGGAAGAGCUCAAAUUUGAAAUCUUAAAGGGUUUCCCUUUACGAAUUGUAGUUUAAAGAAGUGUUUUCUGUUGAGGUUUUGGUAAAAGUUCUUUGGAAUAGGACAUCAUAGAGGGUGAGAAUCCCGUAUUUGACCUUUACUUUCAACUUUGUGAUACACUUUCAAAGAGUCGGAUUGUUUGGGAAUGCAGUCCAAAAUGGGUGGUAAAUUUCAUCUAAAGCUAAAUAUUGGCGAGAGACCGAUAGCGAACAAGUACCGUGAGGGAAAGAUGAAAAGAACUUUGAAAAGAGAGUUAAACAGUACGUGAAAUUGUCAAAAGGGAAGCGUUUGACACCAGUGUUGUUUUUCUGAAAAUCAAUUAAAGAACUGUUUAUGCUAAGUUGUUUAGACUUUAUCAGCUAUCUGCUUAGUUUUGAGCUUUUCUUUAAUGCACUUUUCAGUUAACAAGUCAACAUCAAUUUCUUUUGCUGUAAAAAAGCUUGAGGAAGGUGGCUUGAGAUUCGUCUUAAGUGUUUAUAGCCUCUUGCCUAUGCAGUCGGAGAGAUUGAGGUCUGCAGCGUAGAUCCUUCGGGGCUAAAUGCAUUUGUGCUAAGUUAUAGCAUUUUAUAGACAACUUGUUGACUAUGAUUUGUCUCGUAGCUUACUCGCUUAUGUUAUUUUACCUACGCUUAGGAUGUUGAACUCUAUCACACACAG